rnacentral:rRNA from 1 species
AACGAACGCUGGCGGCGUGCCUAACACAUGCAAGUCGAGCGCGAAAAGGGCAACCUGAGUAGAGCGGCGCACGGGUGCGUAACACGUGGGUAAUCUGCCUUAGAGUCGAGGAUAACCUUCCGAAAGGUUGGCUAAUACUCGGUAAGCUUACGGUGUCUUCGGACGCUGUGGGAAAAGUAGGCCUCUGUUUACAAGCUUACGCUCUGAGAUGAGCCCGCGGCCCAUCAGCUAGUUGGCGGUGUAACGGACCACCAAGGCAACGACGGGUAGCUGGGCUGGGAGGACGAUCAGCCACACUGGAACUGGGAAACGGGCCAGACGCCUACGGGAGGCAGCAGUGGGGAAUUUUCCACAAUGGGCGAAAGCCUGAUGGAGCAACGCAGCGUGUGUGAUGAAGGUUUUCGGAUCGUAAAGCACUUUCGACCGGGACGAAAAACCUCUGGCUAACAUCCAGGGGCCUGACGGUACCGGGAGAAGAAGCACCGGCUAACUCUGUGCCAGCAGCCGCCGUAA